UAGAGCUAUUCAUAGUCAAAAUUUUAGUCAAGCCGCCUUUCCUCGUGUCCUGGGUGCUAUCGAUUGCGUCCAUGUUCGGGUUUGUUCGUAUGGUGGAGAGUAUGCAGAGUUAUUCCGGAAUAGGAAAUCGUUUUUUUCAAUCAACACUCAAGUCAUUGUCAAUUCGAGAUUGGAGAUUAUAGAUAUUGUGUCACGUUGGCCUGGAUCGGCACACGAUGCUACCAUAUUUGACAAUUCUAGAAUAAAAAGACGAUUCGAAAACGGUGAAUUCUAUAACUCAUUGCUUGUAGGUGAUUCUGCAUAUUCUCAAGUGCCAUUUAUUAUGACACCAUUGCACAAUCCUAUGACUCCAGCUGAAGUCCUUUAUAAUGAGUCACAAAUUCGAACACGAACGAUGGUUGAGAGAUGUUUUGGUGUUUGGGGACGAAUGUUCGCCGUUUUAACUAUAGGUUCCAGGUUUUUUAAAUCAGAGUUGAGUAUGCAUGCAAUAAUUGCAUCCGCUGUGUUAUAUAAUGUGACAAGAAGAGCAAUUCCUCAAUCGCUAAUAAAUCAAAGAGCUUAUGAUCAAAUUCCUGAAACUCAUCAGCAACUUAUACAAAAUCAGCAGAGACAUAUAAUAAAUAAUUAUUUUCAUAAUUUACUUUGAAUGGGUAUCUUUGAUAUGCUUUGAUUGUGUACAUUACAUCUACUAUACAUCUAUUUAGAUUAUUAUCUGUAAAA